GCCCGCUUGGCUCAGUGGUAGAGCGUGUCACUAGUAAUAACAAGGUCGUCAGUUCAAUUCUAGCAGUGGGCA